CAGGCAGCAAAAAGGGCAACAGAGUGGUAAGGAUCACAACACAAGUCUCAAGGGGAGAGAAAGUGCUGAAGGGAAACAUGUCUUUGUUCCUGUAACAACUGCCCAACAGACAGAAUGAAGCCCUGCUGGAUCAGACCAAAUGGCCAUUUAAUCCAGCCUCCUGUUCUCACAGCAGCCAACCAGAUGCCUAUAGAACAUAGGCACAAAGGCCCUCUCCCCAUUUCUGCUCCCUGGCAACUGAUAUUUUGAGAGACCAUAAAGAAGAGCCCUGCUU